GGCUUCUUCUGAUUCUGGAGACAUUUUCUGGGAGUCAAAGACAUCAUCCAAAAGAACAUGAAAGCCUUGUGUUUCUUCCUGUUUCUGGUGGCAGCUCCCAGAUGUGUCCUGUCUCAGUUGCAGCUGAAGGAGUCAGGACCUGGCCUGGUGAAGCCCUCACAGACCCUGCCCCUCACCUGCUCUGUCUCUGGAUCCUCUAUAACAAGCAAUGAUAUGAGCUGGAUCCGCCAGUCCCCAGGAAAGGGGCUGGAGUGGGUUGGAGUAAUAUGGAGUGGUGGAAGCACAAACUAUAACCCAACUCUUAAGUCACGACUCACCAUCACCAGAGACACCUCCAAGGAUGAAGUUUAUUUAAAGCUGAGCAGCCUGAUCCCCGAGGACACGGCCACAUAUUACUGUGCAAAAGACACAGUGAUGGGAAUUCAGUGUGAGCCCAGACAAAAACCUCCCCUGAGGGUGCAGGAGGGGCUGGGCUGCAGGGGGCACUUGUGA